AUUGAACGCUGGCGGCAUGCCUUACACAUGCAAGUCGAACGGCAGCGCGGGGCAACCUGGCGGCGAGUGGCGAACGGGUGAGUAAUAUAUCGGAACGUACCCUGGAGUGGGGGAUAACGUAGCGAAAGUUACGCUAAUACCGCAUACGAUCUAAGGAUGAAAGUGGGGGAUCGCAAGACCUCAUGCUCCUGGAGCGGCCGAUAUCUGAUUAGCUAGUUGGUAGGGUAAAAGCCUACCAAGGCAUCGAUCAGUAGCUGGUCUGAGAGGACGACCAGCCACACUGGAACUGAGACACGGUCCAGACUCCUACGGGAGGCAGCAGUGGGGAAUUUUGGACAAUGGGCGCAAGCCUGAUCCAGCAAUGCCGCGUGAGUGAAGAAGGCCUUCGGGUUGUAAAGCUCUUUUGUCAGGGAAGAAACGGUGGUUUCUAAUACAGAUCACUAAUGACGGUACCUGAAGAAUAAGCACCGGCUAACUACGUGC
rnacentral:rRNA from 1 species